GAUGAACGCUGGCGGCGUGCCUAAUACAUGCAAGUCGAGCGAAUGGAUUAAGAGCUUGCUCUUAUGAAGUUAGCGGCGGACGGGUGAGUAACACGUGGGUAACCUGCCCAUAAGACUGGGAUAACUCCGGGAAAUCGGGGCUAAUACCGGAUAACAUUUUGAACCGCAUGGUUCGAAAUUGAAAGGCGGCUUCGGCUGUCACUGAUGGAUGGACCCGCGUCGCAUUAGCGAGUUGGUGAGGUAACGGCUCACCAAGGCAACGAUGCGUAGCCGACCUGAGAGGGUGAUCGGCCCCACUGGGACUGAGACACGGCCCAGACUCCUACGGGAGGCAGCAGUAGGGAAUCUUCCGCAAUGGACGAAAGUCUGACGGAGCAACGCCGCGUGAGUGAUGAAGGCUUUCGGGUCGUAAAACUCUGUUGUUAGGGAAGAACAAGUGCUAGUUGAAUAAGCUGGCACCUUGACGGUACCUAACCAGAAAGCCACGGCUAACUACGUGCCAGCAGCCGCCGUAA
rnacentral:rRNA from 1 species